UACAGGGGGGGCAAGCGUUGUUCGGAAUUACUGGGCGUAAAGGGCUUGUAGGCGGCCAACUAAGUCCGACGUGAAAUCCCAAAGCUUAACUUUGGAACUGCGUCUGAUACUGGAUGGCUUGGAUUCGGGAGAGGAAUGCGGAAUUCCAGGUGUAGCGGUGAAAUGCGUAGAUAUCUGGAGGAACACCGGUGGCGAAGGCGGCAUUCUGGACCGACAUUGACGCUGAGGAGCGAAAGCCAGGGGAGCAAACGGG
rnacentral:rRNA from 1 species